rnacentral:miRNA from 1 species
GGGGAACUGUAGAUGAAAAGGC